rnacentral:lncRNA from 1 species
UAUUUAGGCCAGCACUUCCCCUUUCACAAUCUGUGGUUGCAGUGUUUGUUUCUGCUCUCCAAAAAUGAUGCUGUGUCCUGCACUGGACCAUAAACUACCUCAAAUAAGUACUGGUGAAAAGAACAAUGGAGUCCCUGCAGCAAACCACAGCCUUGGAAGUGCCACUAAAGGUUCCCUUGAAAGUGAUUCUUACCACUGGGAAAUCAUGGGGGUGUAUGACAGAAUUGCAGGAGAUGUAAAGCAGUCAUCGGGGAUGUUAUUCAGUACCCAUACACCUCAUUGGCCUGUGCUGAUUCCUCGCUGAAUCACUAGGCAACAGCGCUGCUGGAUCUUUCAUAAGCACCUAAUACUCUGCAUGUGAAUUUUUUUACUUCAUUUUGUCUGUAGCCCUAGGCAACAGCAGUGAGAUAAAACUGGUUUUUACCAGUUCAUUGUGUUUCCUUUAGCCAAGGUAACCAGCAGGGAGCUGCUUUUGUUCAGAGCUAAAUUACUACAUGUAAGAAAUGAAGCAAGACAAUAUUAACCCUUUGGGCACAUGACAAAUAUAUUUGAGUUAGACGGAUGUUUAGACUUCACUGUUAAAUGUUUUGUGAAGUGCUUGUGUAGAAAUACUUCUGAUCUGGCACUAUUUGAACUGUAUCAGCAAGUGCUUAAAUAUUGUGUUCAGCUUCUUGUAUAUUUUGUGAGUAGAAGGUUCCACAGACUUAGAAAAAUAGUUCUUUGGAACUAAAGACUCUCCACCUUAAUUUACAUUUGGGAUUUUGGAGCAAAACAGGUAAACAAAACUGGAUGCCUAAAUGCAUUUAAAAGAACCAGAUUGUUAUGAAUUCAAUACAUUUCAAACUCAGUUUGUACACUGUAACCUUAACAUACUUUAGAGGAAGUAUUAUAGAUUUGCCUAAUCUAUUAUUUUUAUUACUGAUGUAUUGCUAAAUAUUGUUUAGAUAAAUUUUAGGAUUCAUCUUUUUGCUUUUUUUGAUUCAGGUUUUCACUUUAAUGUUUGGAUUUGUUACUGAUAUUUUGUUUUUCUGUAGAGUUUAUUCUUUAAAUGAGUUUGUUUCAUAACAGUAUUGGUUGCCACACUCUGCCUCUGUGCUUGUGGAAUAUGAAACUGUCCUCAAAGUCUACUAAUAUUUAAAAGUUGAAGUCAAGCACAUAACUUCUAAGAGGUGUUCAGUGUCUUUCAUCACUAGACCUCAAAUGAUCAAAGUAAUAAAAUUUAAAUUUUAAAAGUGUGUAGUUACA